rnacentral:rRNA from 1 species
AUUGAACGCUGGCGGCAUGCCUUACACAUGCAAGUCGAACGGUAACAGGUCUUCGGAUGCUGACGAGUGGCGAACGGGUGAGUAAUACAUCGGAACGUGCCCGAUCGUGGGGGAUAACGAGGCGAAAGCUUUGCUAAUACCGCAUACGAUCUACGGAUGAAAGCGGGGGAUCUUCGGACCUCGCGCGGACGGAGCGGCCGAUGGCAGAUUAGGUAGUUGGUGGGAUAAAAGCUUACCAAGCCGACGAUCUGUAGCUGGUCUGAGAGGAUGAUCAGCCACACUGGGACUGAGACACGGCCCAGACUCCUACGGGAGGCAGCGGUGGGGAAUUUUGGACAAUGGGCGAAAGCCUGAUCCAGCCAUGCCGCGUGCAGGAUGAAGGCCUUCGGGUUGUAAACUGCUUUUGUACGGAACGAAAAGCCUCUUUCUAAUAAAGAGGGGUCAUGACGGUACCGUAAGAAUAAGCACCGGCUAACUACGUG